rnacentral:lncRNA from 1 species
AGCCACGGCUCCAUCCCAGGGCUUCAGUGCUUUCCACCUGAAAAAUAUUUCUUUCUCAAAAACAGUUUCUUAUUUUCAUUUUAUUUGGAAGGCAGAGAGACAAAGCUCCUCCAUCUGUGUGUUCUGCUUAGUGACUUUUUCCAAAAUCAAAAAAAUAAAUAAAUAAAUAAAUAGACUAAAGUCCUGGAAAUGGAAGACAUAGAAAGUAUGCAAAUGCGCUGAUGGUGAGGGUCCUUCCCCAGCAUCCCCGGAGGGCAGAUGGCACGGAGGAGCCAGGGUCUUUGUGGCCGCAACUCUCUUUAGAAACGGAUUCUUACCAGGAAACACUCAUGGAGCUCCUUGCACAGCGCUGCUUUGUUUCCAGGCCCCCCACCCCCCUUUGUCUGAAUCAAAAAUUCCCUUUAGAGGAACAGUGGGGGGGGGGGGUGCCAGGGACAAUUUCCCAGCCCCAGCAGGUGAGAAAGACGCCAGGGAUGGAGAGGCUCUCAGAGCCAGGAGGCGCAGCCCAUUUCACAUGCAAAUCCCGCCUUGUUCCCGGAGAACAGCCCCACCUUUGGCCUCCACAAUUACCCGGCUUCCUGCAGGGAAACUCAGCCUUCCUAAAAGCUAGUCCUCCGGAACAACAGACUCCUGCAAACUUUCCUUUUAGCCGGGCUGGGGAGCCCAGGGGGCCUGGAGUGCCGCUGAGUGGUGGCCGCGGGACCCAGCUCCGGGGUGCCCUGGCCCCUGCUCCUGCCCAGCGGGGCCCUGUUCCAGAGCCCUGGGGCAGGCAGGCAGGACCACGUGAGCGCGCAGUGGAGCCGUGGGUCAGGGCCACUGCAGGCUCCGUGGCACACAGGGAGGGUGGGGUUGUGGGCACUGGACAAGGGAAACUGAGGCAGGGCCGAUGGGGAGAGGCGUGGGGCUGUGCUGUGGUGGGUGACGCCCCGCCCGCAGGCCCUGGUUGGGAGGACUCUGCCCCAGGAGCUGCGUUCUGGGGGGUGGGGUCAUCUCAAGGGUGGGAAGUGAGCACAUGUGGCUUCCUGACACACACGAGGCCCCAUCAGGGCUCAGCUCUGCCUCCGGGGUCUGAAACAGGGGGGGCACCAGUGGGUGACCGCGGCUGUGAAGCCAUAAACCCCAUUUACAAGAGCAGGCGAGGGGGAGGCGCAAGGCUUGUCCCAGGAGCCCUCAGUUGCCGAUCCCUGAUCUUUAGGGCAACAGGACGUCCAGGGAAGGGAGCAGCAGUGCAGGACGGCAAAUUUGGCAUGAGCGCCAGAGAGAGCAGCCCCGGGAGCCGGAGCCGUCCUCCCGCCCCGGCCCUCCCCGCGCUGCUGCUGCCUGCCCGCUGGCUUCCAACCAAACAGCUUGGCCAGGUCCCCCAGGGGGAGCAGCAGGGCCAGGUGAGCAGGAAAGCAGGUUCUCUAUGGAGGCCAG